rfam:Flavobacteriaceae bacterium HSG9 contig2, whole genome shotgun sequence.
AUUAAUGAGGAAGGAUUUGACUGAUUGCAACCUCAGAAGUUGAAACUGGUUUUCGGCGGAAAUAAAAAAAUGCUAAAAAGUGGUGU